UUUCUGGUGGUCCAGUGGUUAGGACUUGGCGCUUUCACUGCUAUCACCUGGAUUCAAUUUCUGGACAGAGAA
rnacentral:tRNA from 1 species